rnacentral:rRNA from 1 species
CGGACGGGUGAGUAACGCGUGGGGAACCUGCCUUGCACCGGGGGAUAACACUUAGAAAUAGGUGCUAAUACCGCAUAAGCGCACAGAGCCGCAUGGCUCAGUGUGAAAAACUCCGGUGGUGCAAGAUGGACCCGCGUCUGAUCAGCUGGUUGGCGGGGUAACGGCCCACCAAGGCGACGAUCAGUAGCCGGCCUGAGAGGGUGAACGGCCACAUUGGGACUGAGACACGGCCCAAACUCCUACGGAAGGCAGCAG